rnacentral:piRNA from 1 species
UGGAAAAUGGCUUGCUGUCCUUGAUCAAGA